rnacentral:rRNA from 1 species
AUUGAACGCUGGCGGCAUGCCUUACACAUGCAAGUCGAACGGCAGCACGGGAGCAAUCCUGGUGGCGAGUGGCGAACGGGUGAGUAAAGUAUCGGGACGUGCCCAGUCGAGGGGGAUAACGUAGCGAAAGUUACGCUAAUACCGCAUACGAUCUAUGGAUGAAAGCGGGGGAUCGCAAGACCUCGCGCGAUUGGAGCGGCCGAUAUCAGAUUAGGUAGUUGGUGGGGUAAAGGCUCACCAAGCCGACGAUCUGUAGCUGGUCUGAGAGGACGACCAGCCACACUGGGACUGGGACACGGCCCAGACUCCUACGGGAGGCAGCAGUGGGGAAUUUUGGACAAUGGGCGCAAGCCUGAUCCAGCCAUGCCGCGUGCAGGAUGAAGGCCUUCGGGUUGUAAACUGCUUUUGUACGGAACGAAAAGGUUUGACUUAAUACGUUGGACUCAUGACGGUACCGUAAGAAUAAGCACCGGCUAACUACGUGCCAGCAGCCGCAGUAA